rnacentral:rRNA from 1 species
UACGUAGGGUGCAAGCGUUAAUCGGAAUUACUGGGCGUAAAGCGUGCGCAGGCGGUGAUGUAAGUCAGGUGUGAAAUCCCCGGGCUUAACCUGGGAACUGCAUUUGUGGCUGCACCGCUGGAGUGCGGCAGAGGGGGAUGGAAUUCCGCGUGUAGCAGUGAAAUGCGUAGAUAUGCGGAGGAACACCGAUGGCGAAGGCAAUCCCCUGGGCCUGCACUGACGCUCAUGCACGAAAGCGUGGGGAGCAAACAGG